rnacentral:rRNA from 1 species
GCCCGCUCAGAAACUUAAAGGAAUUGACGGGGGCCCGCACAAGCGGUGGAGCAUGUGGUUUAAUUCGAUGCAACGCGAAGAACCUUACCUAGGCUUGACAUGCAGGGGACAGGUGUAGAAAUACAUCCUUCCUUCGGGACCCUUGCACAGGUGCUGCAUGGCUGUCGUCAGCUCGUGUCGUGAAAUGUUGGGUUAAGUCCCGCAACGAGCGCAACCCCUGUCUUUAGUUGCCAUCAGGUUAUGCUGGGGACUCUAGAGAGACUGCCGGUGACAAACCGGAGGAAGGUGGGGAUGACGUCAAGUCCGCAUGGCCUUUAUGUCCGGGGCUACACACACGCUACAAUGGUCGGUACAAUGGGUUGCUAAGCCGCGAGGUGGAGCCAAUCCCCCAAAGCCGGCCUCAGUUCAGAUUGCAGGCUGCAACUCGCCUGCAUGAAGCUGGAGUUGCUAGUAAACGCGCGUCAGCUAUAGUGCGUUGAAUACGUUCUCGGGCCUU